rnacentral:misc_RNA from 1 species
AAGUCGUAACAAGGUUUCCGUAGGUGAACCUGCGGUUGGAUCAUUAAAAGUCGUAACAAUGUUACACCAACCCUAAAAGAAAUGUUGUUUUGGUUUUAAAGAACCAAAAAUUACAAUCAAUUUAAUUUAAUUUUUUUACAAAAAAUAAAAAACUUUUGACAAUGGAUCUCUUGGUUCUC